rnacentral:rRNA from 1 species
UACGUAGGUCCCGAGCGUUGUCCGGAUUUAUUGGGCGUAAAGCGAGCGCAGGUGGUUUAUUAAGUCUGGUGUAAAAGGCAGUGGCUCAACCAUUGUAUGCAUUGGAAACUGGUAGACUUGAGUGGGCGAGAAGAAGGCGGAAUGCGUGGUGUAGCGGUGAAAUGCAUAGAUAUCACGCAGAACCCCGAUUGCGAAGGCAGCCUUCCGGCGCCCUACUGACGCUGAGGCACGAAAGUGCGGGGAUCGAACAGG